UAGUAAAAUGGUGUAUGGGCACGAAGGAUUUUGAGUUCUUAGGAAACUCUUUAUAAGGUUUUUUACUAG
rnacentral:tRNA from 1 species